GAUCUUUGCUGAAGGUGCUCGUACCUGUUAAUCUUGUGGUGUGUGAGGUGAUGGACCUGACGCAAUUUCCCCAAGGCAGGAGGACAAACAGGUUACAUUAUGGACGCCAAUACCAUUGGUGGGUCCCAAAAACUAAACAGACACAACAAGCGCUGUAUUUGCCCCUAUUUUAGUGGACACCAUUUUUUUACCAGGGAUGGUGUUUCAGUCCCGAAGAGACCAGCAGGUGGCGAUGUUCUCAGACACCAUGAGGAACCAGUCCGAGCUGUGAAGCCAGCAGCCGUGGAGACAGGUGGCCCUGUGUGCUACAGCUGUCCAUCGUUGCAUCCGAAAUGAUCUGCAAGGCCAAAAUAAAUUUUCUGACUUUUCUGCAGACUUCUGCCGAGAAAAUGUCAGAUAUACACCAUGUUUAAAGUAUUUCCACACCAAUUU